AAUUUUGAGAGUGCUAUCAGUCUCUCAUGAGAAUGGGAUUAAAAGGGAAGUCGGUGCAAAGCCGACACUGUCCCCGUAGCCGUAAGAUCAUCAUGGUGCUGUACGAUGCCACUGUCUUUGGAUAAAAGAGGAUGGGAAGGCGCAGUACUUCGGAUCGAGUCGGAAGACCUGCCUCUUUAGGAUAGCCGAU
rnacentral:ncRNA from 1 species